AAAUUGAAGAGUUUGAUCAUGGCUCAGAUUGAACGCUGGCGGCAGGCCUAACACAUGCAAGUCGAACGGUAACAGAAAGCAGCUUGCUGCUUUGCUGACGAGUGGCGGACGGGUGAGUAAUGUCUGGGAAACUGCCUGAUGGAGGGGGAUAACUACUGGAAACGGUAGCUAAUACCGCAUAACGUCGCAAGACCAAAGAGGGGGACCUUCGGGCCUCUUGCCAUCGGAUGUGCCCAGAUGGGAUUAGCUUGUUGGUGGGGUAACGGCUCACCAAGGCGACGAUCCCUAGCUGGUCUGAGAGGAUGACCAGCCACACUGGAACUGAGACACGGUCCAGACUCCUACGGGAGGCAGCAGUGGGGAAUAUUGCACAAUGGGCGCAAGCCUGAUGCAGCCAUGCCGCGUGUAUGAAGAAGGCCUUCGGGUUGUAAAGUACUUUCAGCGGGGAGGAAGGGAGUAAAGUUAAUA
rnacentral:rRNA from 1 species